rnacentral:rRNA from 1 species
AACAGGAUUAGAUACCCUGGUAGUCCACGCCGUAAACGAUGUCGACUAGCCGUUGGGUCCUUCGCGGACUUUGUGGCGCAGUUAACGCGAUAAGUCGACCGCCUGGGGAGUACGGCCGCAAGGUUAAAACUCAAAUGAAUUGACGGGGGCCCGCACAAGCGGUGGAGCAUGUGGUUUAAUUCGAUGCAACGCGAAGAACCUUACCUACUCUUGACAUCCUGCGAACCCUUCGGAGACGAAGGGGUGCCUUCGGGAACGCAGAGACAGGUGCUGCAUGGCUGUCGUCAGCUCGUGUUGUGAAAUGUUGGGUUAAGUCCCGUAACGAGCGCAACCCUUGUCCCUAUUUGCCAGCGAUUCGGUCGGGAACUCUAGGGAGACUGCCGGUGACAAACCGGAGGAAGGUGGGGACGACGUCAAGUCAUCAUGGCCCUUACGGGUAGGACUACACACGUGCUACAAUGGUCAGUACAAAGGGUUGCGAACUUGCGAGAGUGAGCCAAUCCCAGAAAGCUGAUCUCAGUCCGGAUCGGAGUCUGCAACUCGACUCCGUGAAGUCGGAAUCGCUAGUAAUCGUGAAUCAGAAUGUCACGGUGAAUACGUUCCCGGGCCUUGUACACACCGCCCGUCACACCAUGGGAGUGGACUGCACCAGAAGUGGUUAGCCUAACCUUCGGGAGGGCGAUCACCACGGUGUGGUUCAUGACUGGGGUGAAGUCGUAACAAGGUAACC